UACGUAGGCAGCGAGCGUUGUUCGGAAUUACUGGGCGUAAAGAGUGUGUAGGCGGUGCUCCCAGUCUGUUGUGAAAUCUCCCGGCUUAACUGGGAGGGUGCAGCGGAAACUAGAGUGCUAGAGGGUGGGAGAGGUAAGCGGAAUUCCUGGUGUAGCGGUGAAAUGCGUAGAUAUCAGGAGGAACACCUGUGGUGUAGACAGCUUACUGGGCCACUUCUGACGCUGAGACACGAAAGCGUGGGUAGCAAACAGG
rnacentral:rRNA from 1 species